rnacentral:rRNA from 1 species
AGUGAACGCUGGCGGUAGGCCUAACACAUGCAAGUCGAACGGCAGCACAGUAAGAGCUUGCUCUUACGGGUGGCGAGUGGCGGACGGGUGAGGAAUACAUCGGAAUCUACUUUUUCGUGGGGGAUAACGUAGGGAAACUUACGCUAAUACCGCAUACGACCUACGGGUGAAAGCAGGGGAUCUUCGGACCUUGCGCGAUUGAAUGAGCCGAUGUCGGAUUAGCUAGUUGGCGGGGUAAAGGCCCACCAAGGCGACGAUCCGGAGCUGGUCUGAGAGGAUGAUUAGCCACACUGGAACUGAGACACGGUCCAGACUCCUACGGGAGGCAGCAGUGGGGAAUAUUGGACAAUGGGCGCAAGCCUGAUCCAGCCAUACCGCGUGGGUGAAGAAGGCCUUCGGGUUGUAAAGCCCUUUUGUUGGGAAAGAAAAGCAGCAGGUUAAUACCCCGCUGUUCUGACGGUACCCAAAGAAUAAGCACCGGCUAACUUCGUG